rnacentral:rRNA from 1 species
GGGCCCGCACAAGUAGUGGAGCAUGUGGUUUAAUUCGAAGAUACGCGCAGAACCUUACCAACACUUGACAUGUUCGUCGCGGCUCUAAGAGAUUAGAGCUUUCGGUUCGGCCGGACGAAACACAGGUGCUGCAUGGCUGUCGUCAGCUCGUGUCGUGAGAUGUUGGGUUAAGUCCCGCAACGAGCGCAACCCUCACUUUUAGUUGCCAUCAUUUAGUUGGGCACUCUGAAAGAACUGCCAGUGAUAAGCUGGAGGAAGGUGGGGAUGACGUCAAGUCCUCAUGGCCCUUACGUGUUGGGCUACACACGUGCUACAAUGGUAUCUACAACAGGAAGCAAGACUGCGAAGUUAAGCAAAUCCCUAAAAGAUACCUCAGUUCGGAUUGCACUCUGCAACUCGAGUGCAUGAAGCUGGAAUUACUAGUAAUCGU